UUGCUUCAAACUCUUCUUUUUCUAUUUCCUCUCGGACGAAAACUCUCUCAUCUCUCACUCUCUAAUUCAUACCAUUUUGAAGCUCUCAUUCCCAAAUUGACUCAAACAAAACUUUUCCUGAUCGAUUGCGAUUCAUUUCUCCUGAUCAUUUCACCGAAUCGCAUAACAUUUCACAAAUUCCCAAAUUUCCCUCAAAACCCUACUCUUUCAUAACCGCUCUGUCAAAUCUUGUUCAAGGCCUUUUUGUCCCAAAUUUCUGUGUAUUUCACUUCCUU
rnacentral:lncRNA from 1 species